CCUCGAAUCAGGUGGGACUACCCGCUGAACUUAAGCAUAUCAAUAAGCGGAGGAAAAGAAACUAACAAGGAUUCCCCUAGUAACGGCGAGUGAAGCGGGAUGAGCUCAAAUUUAAAAUCUGAUAGUCUUUGGCCGUCCGAGUUGUAAUCUAGAGAAGUGUUUUCCGCGUUGGACCAUGUACAAGUUUCCUGGAACGGAACGUCAUAGAGGGUGAGAAUCCCGUCCUUGACAUGGACUACCAGUGCUUUGUGAUACACUCUCAACGAGUCGAGUUGUUUGGGAUUGCAGCUCAAAAUGGGAGGUAAAUUCCUUCUAAAGCUAAAUAUUGGCGAGAGACCGAUAGCGAACAAGUACCGUGAGGGAAAGAUGAAAAGCACUUUGGAAAGAGAGUUAAACAGUACGUGAAAUUGUUAAAAGGGAAACGAUUGAAGUCAGUCGCGUUUACUUGGACUCAGCCUUACCUCGGUUUGGUGCAUUUCCUUGUGAACGGGGCAGCGUCAAUGUUGUCCGUUGGAAAAGGGUUGGAGAAAUGUGGCUCUUUCGGGAGUGUUAUAGUCUCUGAUCGUAUACAACGGCUGAUAUUGAGUGGUACAGCAUGCUUCGGCGGUGCUUGUGCUGGC
rnacentral:rRNA from 1 species